CACAGAGAGAAAGCCUGAGGAGCAGUGAGCGCUCACACAGAAUGAGAAAGAAGCAAAUACACUGAGAUGGGAUUGAUGGAGAUGGAGAGACAGCAUAGUCACCCAGCACUGCUGUACACCUGGACAAAAGAGCUGCACUGACAGAGGUCUGCAAAGUGCUUCUAACACAGUGGGUGGACAAGGAAGCUGUCCACAUACGUGAACGUUAUCAGCACGGCUGUCAGGACAGAGUCUAGCCAACUUUGAGGGGGCAAAGUCAGCCAGUUGGAGGGACAGAGAUGUUGUGGCAGGACAAGCAUGCGGCCCUGACUUUUAUGUCAUUACUGCUGCUACUGUGGCAGGAAGCAGCACCCAUUGAAGUCCCAGAAGACCCAAAGAUCCAGCAAGACUUGAAGCAGCCCCCAACUAUCAUGAAACAGUCAGUAAAGAACUACAUUGUGGACCCCAGAGAUAACAUCAUCAUUGAGUGUGAGGCCAAGGGCAACCCAGUGCCAACGUAAGCUCACUCACACACACGCACGCACACACACACACACACACACACACACACACACACACACACACACAGUCCCAACAUGAAUCAUGGUAAAAACAAAACAUUCAUAAAGAACAACGAAUGACACAGUGGAAUUGAAGUUUUUGUAUAUAACUUCCAUGUAAUCAGUUUCUACAUCAUUAUGGAAGGAUUCUGGCACAUCUUCCUGUUGCUGUGUUGCAACAUUGUGGAGUGUUGUCACAGCUUUGUAGGCAUUCAUCUCCCUGCUGUCUCGACGUCCAGCCACACUGUUCCACUUUGCUUGAUGGAUCCUGACUGGGCCAUUGCAACACCUUCGUUCCAUUUCUUUUCAGCUGCUCUGGGAUCAUUUCAUUUUGUUUGAGUCCAGUUUUGGCCAAAUUUAGGCUGUCAGACAGAUGGCCUCAAAACCAUAAAAACCAUAGACUUUUUAAAGG